rnacentral:piRNA from 1 species
UUUAAAGAAGAGGCCGAGCGUUGGGUUCU